GAAUAUGAAGCAAUUAUUGCAAUUAGUUUCGACCUAAUAAAUUGAUAUUAAGUUAUCCUUAUUCU
rnacentral:tRNA from 1 species